UACGUAGGGUGCAAGCGUUGUCCGGAAUUAUUGGGCGGAAAGAGCUCGUAGGCGGCUUGUCGCGUCUGCUGUGAAAGUUCGGGGCUCAACCCCGGAACUGCAGUGGGUACGGGCAGACUAGAGUGCGGUGGAGGAGACUGGAAUUCCUGGUGUAGCGGUGGAAUGCGCAGAUAUCAGGAGGAACACCAGUGGCGAAGGCGGGUCUCUGGGCCGGAUCUGGCGCUGAGGAGCUAAAGCGUGGGUAGCGAACAGG
rnacentral:rRNA from 1 species